rnacentral:rRNA from 1 species
AUUGAACGCUGGCGGCAGGCCUAACACAUGCAAGUCGGGCGAGCGGCGGACGGGUGAGUAACGUAUGGGGACUGCCUGAUGGCGGGGGAUAACUACUGGAAACGGUAGCUAAUACCGCAUACCAUCCGAUAACCCAUAUGGGAUUAGCUAGUAGGGAAGGUAAUGGCUGACCUAGGCGACGAUCCCUAGCUGGUCUGAGAGGAUGAUGGGCCAAAUGGGAACGGAGAACGGGCCCAGACUCCACCGGGGGCAGAGGGGGGAAAUAUUGGAAAAUGGGCGCAAGCCUGAGGCAGCCCGGCCGCGUGUAUGUAAAAGGCCUUCGGGUUGUAAACUACGUUCAGUCGGGAGGCGUUACCGACAGAAAAAGCACCGGCUAACUCCGUGCCAGCAGCCGCGGUAAUUC